rnacentral:rRNA from 1 species
GCAUUGAACGCUGGCGAUGCUCUACACAUGCAAGUCGAACGGCAGCGGCACUUCGGCCUGCCGGCGAGUGGCGAACGGGUGAGUAAUACAUCGGAACGUGUCCUUAAGUGGCGAAUAACGCAUCGAAAGAUGUGCUAAUACCGCAUAUUUCUGAGGAGAAAAGCAGGGGAUCGCAAGACCUUGCGCUAAAGGAGCGGCCGAUGUCUGAUUAGCUAGUUGGUACGUAAAGGCUUACCAAGGCAACGAUCAGUAGUUGGUCUGAGAGGACGGCCAGUCACACUGGGACUGAGACACGGCCCAGACUCCUACGGGAGGCAGCAGUGGGGAAUGCUGGACAAUGGGCGAAAGCCUGAUCCAGCCAUGCCGCGUGAGUGAAGAAGGCCUUCGAGGUUGUAAAGCUCAUUAUUAGUCGGAAAGAAUAGAGUUGCAAUGAAUAAUUGUGAUUUAUGACGGUACCGACAGAUCAGCACCGGCUAACUACGUGCCAGCAGCCGCGGUAAUACGUAGGGUGCGAGCGUUAAUCGGAAUUACUGGCAGUACAGGGUGCGCAGGCGGUCUUGCAAGUCAGAUGUGAAAGCGACGUGCUUAACCUGGGAAUUGCGUUACUAACUACAAGGCUAGAGUGCAGCAGAGCCGAGUGGAAUUCCAUGUGUAGCAGUGAAAUGCGUAGAGAUGUGGAAGAACACCGAUGGCGUCUCAGCUCCCUGGGUUGACACUGACGCUCAUGCACGAUAGCGUGCAGAGCAAACACUCUUAGAUACCUGCUAGUCCACGCCCUAAACGAUGUCAACUAGUUGUCGGAUCUAAUUAAGGAUUCAGUAACGUAGCGUAACGCGUGAAGUUGACCGCCUGCGGAGUGUCGGUCGCAAGAUUAUCACUCAAAGGAAUUGACGAGGACCCGCACAAGCGGUCAUUAUGUGGAUUAAUUCGAUGCAACGCGAAGUACCUUACCUACCCUUGACAUGCUUGGAAUCUAAUCUAGACAUAAGAGUGUCCGAAUCGAGCCAAGACACAGGAGCUGCGUCUGUCGUCAAAGCGUGUCGUGAGAUGUUGGGUUAAGUCCCGCAACGAGCGCAACCCUUGUCACUAAUUGCUAUCAUUAAUGAGCACUUUAGUGAGACUGCCGGUGACAAACCGGAGGUCGGUGGGGAUGACGUCAAGUCCUCAUGGCCCUUAUGGGUAGGUCACACGUAAUACAAUGGCGUGUACAGAGGGUUGCCAACCCGCGAGCAGGAGCCAAUCUCAGAAAGCACGUCGUAGUCCGGAUCGGAGUCAGCAACUCGACUCCGUGAAGUCGGAAUCGCUAGUAAUCGCGGAUCAGCAUGUACGGUGAAUACGUUUCUUGUACACACCGCCCGUCACACCAUGGGAGUGGUAGUCCACCAGAAGCAGGUAGCUUAACCGUAAGGCGCGCUUGCCACGGUGCAGGGAAUGACUGCAGUGAGUGUCUCU